rnacentral:lncRNA from 1 species
UCUUUUUUUUUUUUUUGUUUUUUUGUUUAUAAACAUUUGGAAUUUUAUUUAAAAAAAAAAAAAAAACAUCACAACCAUGAACAUUGUUACAGUUAGAGGCCCUCUUGGUUCUCCACAAUGAUACUGAGCAUGCUCACAAGGGGUUCCCAUUGUUUAGUCUUUAGUUAAACAACCAUCUUUAAAAGAAGGAAAAAAAACUCGGCACACUACCAUUUAACUUGUUUUAAUGUUUCUUCACAAAUGGUGAAAAAUACUAAAGUACAGACAAGGAAUAAUCAUAAUGUUGUGGCCAACAUUAUAAAUAUGGAAUUAUAAAUUUAAAACAUUUUCUGGUUUAAAAAAUAAAUCUGGUAGUCAAUGCAGCUCUGCGGGGUCUCUGCGUCUAGUAGGGCCGGUCUCUGCGCUCCUGACGGUGCUCGCCUUUAUCCAUUUUUCCAGGUCCUCCACGCCCGCCUCUUCUUCCUCCCAUCUGUUCCAUCAAAGGUCCAGGGGGCCCACCAGGACCGCCUCGUCUUCCUCCGCCAAAGCCACCUCGGUCCAUGCCCCGGCCACCACGGAAGCCCCCUCUGUCUCCACCGCGGCCACCUCUGAACAUCCCACCGGGACCACCGCGGUCCAUGAGGCCACCUCUUCCUCCCCGCAUGCCACCAGGGCCACCUCUGCCACGGUCACCGCCCGGGGGCGGGAAGGGUGGUGGAAGGAAGCCUUCAGGCUUCGGGGCCUUAUACUGGUUGCAUUCUGUUCUCCAGGCGAAGUUCUGGUUUCCACACCCCGGAUUGGGGCACUGCCAGUCCCCAGCUCGGUGCUGGACGUUUCCUCCUCCAGAUGGGUUCCCUCGGGAACCCCGGGGUCCUCUUGGGGGAAAGCCACCUCUGUCUCCUCCACGGCCUCCCAUGCGACCCAUGGGGCCCCCAGGACCUCCUGGGCCCCCUGGACCUCCACGGAGUGGCGGUGGCAUCCCUCUGCCCUCACGGGGAGGCAUACCACCCCGCAUGCUGUUCAUUGGAGGUUUCUUCCGAGCAAGAGAAACCUUAAGUUUGCUUCCUUGAAAAUCUUUCCCAUCAAACCACUCCACAGCAGCCUUGGCAGUUGGUGGGUCUUCAUAGGAUACUGUAGCAUCACCUUUGGGCUUUCCUGUUUCCUUGUCCAAGUAGAUAUGGAUCAUGGGUUGUCCGGUUCUCUUGUUCAUCUUAACAACUCCACAUUGCUUAAAGAAGUCAGCCAGAUCAUCUAGAGUCACAUUGUCAUUUAGGCCUUGCACAUAAAUUGCACUGUUGUCAGAGUCUUCAUCUGGAUCUACAGGUGGGCCUAGAUCAAGAUCUGGUCCUUCAUCCAUGGGUCCACCAGGCUUAUUGAAGCCACCUCGCUCUCCAGCGCCCAUUCCACCGCGUCCUCCUCCCCGCCCACCUCUGCUCAUGCCUCCACGAUCAAAUCCCCCUCUUCCCCUGCCCCGGUUAUCAGGGCCACUCAUGCUCCGGUUCUCUCCUGGUCCGGAAAAUCCUCCAGACUCCUGCCCAUAAACACCCAUGCUACUGGGGUGGUCCUGUCGGAAUGAACUCUGCUGCCUGUAGCUGCUGCUCUGUUGGCUAUAUUGACUUGGAGCCUGGCUGUAGGAUCCAGUUUGGGGGGGAUAACUAGUGGGCGGCUGCUGCCCAUAGCUGCUUUGUUGACCAUAGCUACUCUGCUGUCCAUAGCUGCUCGGCUGCCCAUAGGUGUUCUGCUGAGAGUAACUGCUCUGAUCAUAACUAGUCGGCUGUGUAGAGGAGUAGCUGGUAGGAGGAUAAGAUGGUGGUGCUGUGACUGGCUGCAUGGGGUAGCUCCCAGGUACCUGGGGAUAACUGUAGUUACUCUGUCCAUAUCCUAGGCUGGGCUGGUUGUAACCCCCUGUGCUAGAUUGAGGUUGAGACUAGUCUCAGCGGGUUUGUUACCAUCCUGUGGUCUUGCAGGUGCGGUGGCUGCUGGCUGCUGCCCAUAGGCUGGGUAAGCAGGCUGAGUGCCAUAUGCAGACUGAGCUGCAUAGGAGGCCUGGGUGGUAGUGACCGUAGCAGUGGUGGUAUCAUAAGCACCAGUGCCGUACCCCUGGACAGGCUGACUGUAUGCCUGGGGGGCAGUUGGAGUAGUAUAACCAGCGGGAGGCUGUCCAUAAGAAGUUGCAUAGGCGGUCUGCCCAUAGGUCGCAGUGGUCUGAGCCUGGGUAUAGCUGACAUCAGUGGGCUGUCCAUAGGUUCCAUAACUCUGCUGCCCAUAUGCCUGGGUGGUCUGUGCAUAUCCUUGAGUUGGUUGGGCGGUGUAUGCACUGUAGCCCUGCUGGGCUGCAGCUUGGCUGUAGGUACUGUAAUCCGUGGACGCCAUUUUCUCUCCUUCCCUC